rnacentral:lncRNA from 1 species
GAAUUUCAUCUUUUUGUUCCCACCACUUGUAGACUCUUUAACAAACUUCCUCUUCUUUGUAUCAUCUGCUGACUUACCCUUUGUUGAUUUUUGAUAUCCAGAGUGCCUAGCUUUCUUAGUUCCUUUAGGUCCAUAGCCACCACUGCUCGGUAUACGUGGCUCCCUCAUGGUACGAGGGUUAUCGUUUUCCUUAUUUUUUCUCUUUCUCUUCCUAUGCUGCACUGAACCAUUUUCCUCCGCCACAGAACCUGAUUCUUUUUUCUUCUGCUUAUUCAUCCUAGAAUGACAAAAAUGCAACAGAAAUUAGAACACUUGUGAGGGC